rnacentral:rRNA from 1 species
GGGUAGCCGGCCUGAGAGGGCGACCGGCCACACUGGGACUGAGACACGGCCCAGACUCCUACGGGAGGCAGCAGUGGGGAAUAUUGCACAAUGGGCGAAAGCCUGAUGCAGCGACGCCGCGUGAGGGAUGACGGCCUUCGGGUUGUAAACCUCUUUCAGCAGGGAAGAAGCGCAAGUGACGGUACCUGCAGAAGAAGCGCCGGCUAACUACGUGCCAGCAGCCGCGGUAAUACGUAGGGCGCAAGCGUUGUCCGGAAUUAUUGGGCGUAAAGAGCUCGUAGGCGGCUUGUCACGUCGGAUGUGAAAGCCCGGGGCUUAACCCCGGGUCUGCAUUCGAUACGGGCUAGCUAGAGUGUGGUAGGGGAGAUCGGAAUUCCUGGUGUAGCGGUGAAAUGCGCAGAUAUCAGGAGGAACACCGGUGGCGAAGGCGGAUCUCUGGGCCAUUACUGACGCUGAGGAGCGAAAGCGUGGGGAGCGAACAGGAUUAGAUACCCUGGUAGUCCACGCCGUAAACGUUGGGAACUAGGUGUUGGCGACAUUCCACGUCGUCGGUGCCGCAGCUAACGCAUUAAGUUCCCCGCCUGGGGGA